GCGCGGGCGGCGGGAAGAGCCGAACCCGGGAGGGCCCCGCUCGGAGCGGCCGCUAAAAGGAGCUCCUCCAAUGAAGAGUGGAAAAACAUAAACAAGGUAUCUCAUUGAGGAGUUCUUCCUAUGAGGAAUGGAGAAACAUAAACAAGUUGUGCUUCAUACACACAGGAUUCCAGGAAGGUACUGACUAAGUGGGAGCUGCCUUGAGAGUGAAAACAUGCCCAUCUUACUGCCACCUGUGGCCAAGACUCUAGACCAGGGACAGUUUCAUUUCAACCUCCUUCUGAGCUGUAACCUUUUAUAUACCUCAGCAUGUUUUUAAUAUUUUAUAAUCUCAUUCAUUUUCAAUUCAACAUGUAUUCUGAAUACUGGCUUUGUACAAGGAACCGUGUUGGAGGGAAAUAUAAGCACAAGUCACAUUGAAUGCGUUUUUGUAAAGAGGUCAAGGUAGUGUGGGGCCAUGGAGACAUGGGCUAGUGGUUGUUAGGACUGGUUUUGGCCAUGAGUGACAGGAAACAAUGUUAACACUGGAUUUGGUAAGAGAGGUCGGUCUUUCAGGGAAUGACAGCUACUUGAUCAUGUGGGACCUAGGUUCCUUAUCAUUCCAGCCUCAAAAUGCAGCUUCUACUUUCUGUUCUAAGGUGGUCGAUCCUGCCCCUUCUGUAAGGUCACCAUACUAUAGUGUAAAGGAGAUAAAUGGACAGAAAAGGGCCCUACUCCAAGCUCACCCGUCUUUGAAGGACACUUUUCAGAUAUUGCACAUUCUUUUACUCACAUCCCAUGAAAAGGUGGGAAUCGUGACUUCCCCCUUCUCCCAAGCGGUCAUGUGUCCUGUAACUGUAAAAAAGAAAAAAAGUCCUGUAGUUUCUGCUGGUGAUGCAGGUUGCUAUGGCGCAAGACUAAAAGUAUGAGAGUUAAAACUUAAAAGAUGUGACCUUAGGUUACUUCUGUGCCUCGGUUGCUUAACCUAAGAGGGUAAUUGUAGCAUCUAACUUAAAGGUUUACCUAUUACAUAUAUACAUGACAUUGCUAACAUAUACAUAAUAAAUUACAUAACACUAAGUUUUAUAUCUAAAAUCCUACAUCAGUGCCUGGUACUUAAUAAGUAUAUUAGGCAUGUUAAAUAUAAAGAAGUAAAGAGAAUCAAAUGGAAAUAGCAAGAGUAUAUACACCAGCAGAGAAAAAUCUGGGGGAAAAAGUUUUUUUCAUUAAGAAAUUCAGGCAAUCAACUGUGAUGACUGGAGCAACCUCAUUCCUUCCUUGGGUACCCCCAGCACCUGCACAGUGCCUUGCAGAGUAGAGGCUCCAAGUACUGGUUGCUGAGUAGACUUGAAAGGUUAAUAGUAAUUUGUUGGGUGGAAUGGAGGCAAGGAAGAUAUUUUAGGUGGAGUUAACCAUAUGGACAAAGACAAAAUUGGCGAAAGCACACUGUAUCUGGUAUAGCAGCAGGCAUGCAAAGAACUCAGUGUAUAUUCAUUCUCAACUGGUUUGGUUUGACUAGAAUGUAUUAGGUCCAGUAGGAGGAAAACUCAUUACUGGGAAUUCAUUAUACAAAUGACAGAAAUGCUGAAAACAUAGGGGGAGAGACAGACAGACAGGCAGUGUCACACAACAUUCUCUGGUCUGAAGAGAUGAAGCCUGAGAUAAAAACACAUCGCAUGUUAGUAGUUGAGAUUCAUGUAGUAAGUUUCUGUAGACAGGUGGGUCACAGGUAAGGCAAGGCAGUCUUAGGUGGCUUUGGCUGGUUGAGUGAAGUAGGUAAUCUACUGAGCACAGGAAUGGGAUUGGGGAUCCUCUGGGAGGAUGGAAGCCUGCUGUAUUUCCUAUAAGCUCCUCAAGGUAUAGGGCUCCUUCCUUGUACCCUGGGGCUUAAAUAAUGCAUAGGAAUGCAUUUUGUGGAGACUGACUUACAGAAUGAAUGAAUGAAUUCAAUGGGAAGUAACCAGAAUUGAAAGGAUAGUGAUAGCAGUGAAAGUCCAGCUGAAAGCCAGGAGCUUCAGGGUACUUUCCCAAAUUUCGGCCUGGACAGAAUAAAAAGUGUUGGUGUUUCCCUGGCUACGAUUGGCAGGUGAGACUAAAAGAAAGACUAUGGAGCCUGGGUCUCCCACCCCCAAAGAUUGUAAAUUCAUGAUCUGAAGUGUUUCAGCCACUGUUACUCUACCAAUCUCCCAUCCCCAUCUGGAUACAUGUUCCUCCCUAACUAGCUUUAGCCCAAUUAGUCAGCAGUUUGUAUACUUCUUUCAGUUAAGGAGUCCAGGUAUUUUCUGGUAACAAUGAGGCCUUAAAAUAGUUCCAGUAAAUAAAGUGAGUUUAGUUACACAAACCAGUCAUUAAACCUGUUUCUCAACACACUGCUUCAAAAGCAAGACAAAUAAAUCUGUUAUUAAAUAUUCAGUUAUCUGCAGAAGUCCAGGAACAUUAAGAGGCUUCCUUCUGGACAGUUUUUUACCUUCUCACUUUUACUCUGACUUUGAAGAUUUAAAAUAAAUAUGGAGAUCACAUUAAAAUGAAGGUGCUAAUGUGUUACCUGUUCUAAUACCUUACAUUAGAUAUUAAUAG